rnacentral:rRNA from 1 species
GACGAACGCUGGCGGCGUGCUUAACACAUGCAAGUCGAACGGCAACGCACUGCUUUUGUGCGGUGCUCGAGUGGCGAACGCGUGAGUGACACGUGAGUAACCUGCCCUUCACUUUGGGAUAACUUCAGGAAACUGGGGCUACUACCGGAUAGGAGAUCCUGCUGCGUGGUGAGGGUUGGAAAGUUUCGGCGUUUGGGGAUGGACUAGCGGCUUAUCAGCUUGUUGGUGGGGUGGUGGCUUGCCAACGCGUUCGAGGGUAGCCGGCCUGAGAGGGUGAGAGGCCACACUGGGACUGAGGUGCGGCCCAGACUGCUACUGGAGGCAGCAGGGGGGAAUCUUGCACAAUGGGCGGAAGCCGGAUGCAGCAACGCCGCGUGCGGGAUGACGGUCUUGGGGUUGUAAACCGCCUGCGCCUGGGACGAAGCGUGAGCGAAGGUAACGGGUAAAGAAGCCCCGGCUAACUACGUG